GACGAACGCUGGCGGCGUGCUUAACACAUGCUAGUCGAACGGUGACGAGGAGCUUGCUCCUCUGAUCAGUGGCGAACGGGUGAGUAACACGUGAGCAACCUGCCCCAGACUCUGGGAUAACAGUUGGAAACAGCUGCUAAUACCGGAUACGAGACGGAGAGGCAUCUCUACCGUCUGGAAAGUUUUUCGGUCUGGGAUUGGACUCGCGGCCUAUCAGCUAGUUGGUGAGGUAAUGGCUCACCAAAGGCGACGACGGGUUAGCCGGCCUGAGAGGGCGACCGGCCACACUGGGACUGAGACACGGCCCAGACUCCUACGGGAGGCAGCAGUGGGGAAUAUUGCACAAU
rnacentral:rRNA from 1 species